UACGUAGGUGGCGAGCGUUGUCCGGAUUUACUGGGCGUAAAGCGCGCGCAGGCGGGGUGUUAAGUCUCUGGUGAAAUCGCCCGGCUCAACUGGGCGGGUGCCGGGGAGACUGGCAGCCUAGAGGCGCCUAGAGGCCGGUGGAACUCCCGGUGUAGUGGUGAAAUGCGUAGAUAUCGGAAGGAACACCAGUGGCGAAAGCGGCUUCCUGGUCCAGCACCGACGUUCAGGCACGAAAGCGUGGGGAGCAAACAGG
rnacentral:rRNA from 1 species